CUGUCGUCAGCUCGUGUCGUGAGAUGUUGGGUUAAGUCCCGCAACGAGCGCAACCCUCGCCUUUAGUUGCCAUCAUUUAGUUGGGCACUCUAAAGGGACUGCCGGUGAUAAUCCGCGAGGAAGGUGGGGAUGACGUCAAGUCCUCAUGGCCCUUACAGGCUGGGCUACACACGUGCUACAAUGGUGGUGACAGUGGGACGCAAAGGCGCGAGCCUGAGCAAAUCUCAAAAAGCCAUCUCAGUUCGGAUUGCACUCUGCAACUCGAGUGCAUGAAGGUGGAAUCGCUAGUAAUCGUGGAUCAGCAUGCCACGGUGAAUACGUUCCCGGGCCUUGUACACA
rnacentral:rRNA from 1 species